AGAUUGAACGCUGGCGGCAGGCCUAACACAUGCAAGUCGAGCGGCAGCACGGGUACUUGUACCUGGUGGCGAGCGGCGGACGGGUGAGUAAUGCCUAGGAAUCUGCCUGAUAGUGGGGGAUAACGUUCGGAAACGGACGCUAAUACCGCAUACGUCCUACGGGAGAAAGUGGGGGAUCUUCGGACCUCACGCUACCAGAUGAGCCUAGGUCGAUUAGCUAGUUGGUAGGUAAAGCCUACCAAGGCUACGAUCCGUAACUGGUCUGAGAGGAUGAUCAGUCACACUGGAACUGAGACACGGUCCAGACUCCUACGGGAGCAGCAGUGGGAAUGUUAGGACAAGUGGGACAAAGCCUGAAUCCGAGCCCAGUCGCCGCGUGUGUAGAAGAGGUCUUAGGAAUUAGUAAA
rnacentral:rRNA from 1 species